ACGAACGCUGGCGGCGUGCUUAACACAUGCAAGUCGAACGGAAAGGCCCUGCUUUUGUGGGGUGCUCGAGUGGCGAACGGGUGAGUAACACGUGAGUAACCUGCCCUUGACUUUGGGAUAACUUCAGGAAACUGGGGCUAAUACCGGAUAGGAGCUCCUGCUGCAUGGUGGGGGUUGGAAAGUUUCGGCGGUUGGGGAUGGACUCGCGGCUUAUCAGCUUGUUGGUGGGGUAGUGGCUUACCAAGGCUUUGACGGGUAGCCGGCCUGAGAGGGUGACCGGCCACAUUGGGACUGAGAUACGGCCCAGACUCCUACGGGAGGCAGCAGUGGGGAAUAUUGCACAAUGGGCGGAAGCCUGAUGCAGCAACGCCGCGUGCGGGAUGACGGCCUUCGGGUUGUAAACCGCUUUCGCCUGUGACGGAGCGUGAGUGACGGUAAUGGGUAAAGAAGCACCGGCUAACUACGUG
rnacentral:rRNA from 1 species